rnacentral:rRNA from 1 species
UACGUAGGGCGCGAGCGUUGUCCGGAUUUAUUGGGCGUAAAGAGCUCGUAGGCGGCUUGUCGCGUCAACUGUGAAAACCCGUGGCUCAACCAUGUGGUCUGCAGUCGAUACGGGCAGGCUAGAAUUCGGUAGGGGAGACUGGAAUUCCUGGUGUAGCGGUGAAAUGCGCAGAUAUCAGGAGGAACACCGGUGGCGAAGGCGGGUCUCUGGGCAGUAACUGACGCUGAGGAGCGAAAGCGUGGGGAGCGAACAGG